GGGGCCGAGUCCCGCGUUUGUGCUUAGGAUGCUGGCAUAAUGUCUUUAAUCGACCCGUCUUGAAACACGGACCAAGGAGUCUAACUUGCCGCGAGUGUUUUGGGUGGAAAACCCGAGCGCGUAAUGAAAGUGAAAGUUGGGGUGCACCUCGUGGGGAGCACCAUCGCCCGGUCCAGACGUUUUGGGAUGGAUUUGCGUAAGAGCGUGUAUGUUGGGACCCGAAAGAUGGUGAACUAUGCCUGAAUAGGGUGAAGCCAGAGGAAACUCUGGUGGAGGCUCGCAGCGGUUCUGACGUGCAAAUCGAUCGUCAAAUUUGGGUAUA
rnacentral:rRNA from 1 species